rnacentral:rRNA from 1 species
CUACGGGCUGCAGCAGUGAGGAAUAUUGCACAAUGGGGGGAACCCUGAUGCAGCAACGCCGCGUGGAGGAUGACGCAUUUCGGUGUGUAAGCUCCUUUUAUACGUCAAGAAAAUGACGGUAGCAUAUGAAUAAGCACCGGCUAACUCCGUGCCAGCAGCCGCGGUAAUACGGAGGGUGCAAGCGUUACUCGGAAUCACUGGGCGUAAAGGACGCGUAGGCGGGUUGGAAAGUCAGGUGUGAAAUCCUACAGCUUAACUGUAGAACUGCACUUGAAACUUCUAAUCUAGAGUAUGGGAGGGGGAGAUGGAAUUAGUGGUGUAGGGGUAAAAUCCGUAGAUAUCACUAGGAAUACCUAAAGCGAAGGCGAUCUCCUGGAACAUAACUGACGCUAAGGCGUGAAAGCGUGGGGAGCAAACAGGAUUAGAUACCCCCGUAGUC